rnacentral:rRNA from 1 species
AGAUGAGAAAGUGGCGGACGGCUGAGUAACACGUAGGAACCUGCCUUUUGGUAGAGAAUAACCUGUCGAAAGACGGGGUAAUACUCUAUGGUAUCCGAUGCAAUAUUCGUAUUAAAAAAUGUAACUGUUUGCCAAAAGAUGGGCCUGCGGCUUAUCAGGUAGUUGGUAGGGUAACGGCCUACCAAGCCUAUGACGAGUAGCUGACCUUAUGAGGGUGACCAGCCAGAGAGGUACUGAGACACGGACCUCACACCUACGGGUGGCAGCAAUUAGGAAUAGUUGGCAAUGGGCGAAAGCCUGACCACGCGACGUCGCGUGCGGGAAGAAGCUUUUAUUAAGUGUAAACCGCUGUGGUAAAGGAUUAAGUUCCGAUGUAUGUCGGAAUUGACUGUACUUUGCUAGAAAGUAGCCGCUAACUUCGUGCCAGAAGCGUCGGUAAUACGGGGGCUACAAGCAUUAUCCGGGGUGACUGGGCGUAAAGAGUGUGUAGGUGGUUUUGUAAGUUAUUUCUUAAAGAUCUCGAUUCAAUCGAGAGAAAGGAGAUAAUACUGCAUUACUAGAGUUAUCUUUAGGGAAACUGGAAUUCACGAAGAAGUAGUGAAAUGCGUUGAUAUCGUGAAGAACACCAAUGGCGAAGGCAAGUUUCUGGAAGAUAACUGACACUCAGACACGAAAGCUAGGGGAGCGAAUCGGAUUAGAGACCCGAGUAGUCCUAGCUGUAAACAAUGCUUGCUGGUUGCAUUUUUUCCACUUUAUGUGGAAAGGGUGUAGCGAAGCUAACGCGUUAAGCAAGCCGCCUGGGGAGUACGGCCGCAAGGUUGAAACUCAAAGGAAUUGGCGGGGAGACACACAACUAGUGGAGCAUGUGGUUCAAUUCGAUACGAACCGAAGAACCUCACCAAGGCUUGACAUCCUGAUGCUAGCCAUAGAAAUAUGGUGUUUGGUAUUUAUUUAUCAACGUCAGGACAGCUGCUGCAUGGCUGUCGCCAGUUCGUUCCGUGAGGAGUGCCCUUAAGUGGGACAACGAACGCAACCUUCAUCCCGAGUUACAAGUGUCUCGGGAAACUGCUUUGCAAUACUGUGAGGAGGAAGGAGAAGCAGACGUCAAGUCAGCAUGGCGCUUAUGCCUUGGGCUACACACAUGCUACAAUGAAUUGAACAAUGAGUUGCAAUCCGGCAACGGAAAGCUAAUCUGUCUAAAUCAAUUCUCAGUGGGGAUUGAGGUCUGAAACUCGACCUCAUGAACGCGGAAUUAGUAGUAAUCGCGGAUCAGCUAUGCCGCGGUGAAUACGUUCUUGUCUCUUGCACACACUGCCCGUCAAGCCAACAAAGUCGGUGGUUUUCGAAUGCU